GUGAAACCUCCGUUAAAAACAAACAAACAAAAAGGCCAGUCUUGCUUUCUGGGUGGACUAAUGGCAUUUAGCCAAAAUGAAAAAAAAAAUCAUUAAGUUGAAAAACCCUGCGGGACAGGUUAUGCCAAGAGGGUGAAUUGGACAGCUUUACAGAUGCCUCAUGUUAGGAAAUUUUCCUGGAUUUGAGUCUUCAAUGUGGGAGCAGAGUUACCUGAAUAUAUGGAGUUGAUGGAGACAUUCCUUGAUGAGAAGCAGAAAUUCCCCAGGGACCUUGUAAAUCUGAAGCAGAUAAAGGGAAAUGAAGAAACCAAGUUUUACAACUUUGAUGAGUGGCAAAAUUUGUCAAUAAGAGCUAGAUAUUAAGUAAUUAGCUUUUAGGAAGCAAAGUGUAUUGGACUUGGCUAUGAUAUGAAGGAAUUCAUUUAAUAAAUCAAAACGAAAACAAAAACAACAAAAACAAAGAAGCGAAGCAUGAAUCUCCUAAUCAGCAGAAAAGGGAGGACAGCCGGAGACAAUCGUAUUCCUGAUCGAUACUGAUGUAAACUUGUGCUGGAACAGUAAGAUGGGACCAUCUCGUUGCAGGAAAACAAGCUCAGGGCUCCCACUGAUUCUACAUUAUGGU
rnacentral:lncRNA from 10 species